AUUGAACGCUGGCGGCAGGCCUAACACAUGCAAGUCGAGCGAGCGGCGGACGGGUGAGUAAUGUAUGGGGACUGCCCGAUAGAGGGGGAUAACUACUGGAAACGGUAGCUAAUACCGCAUAAUAUCGGAUAACCAAUUGGGGAUUAGCUAGUAGUUGGGGUAAUGGCUCACCUAGGCGACGAUCCCUAGCUGGUCUGAGAGGAUGAUCAGCUACACUGGGACUGAUGAACGGCCCAGACUCCUACGGAGGCAGCAUUGUGGAAUUUUGCACAAUGGGCGCAAGCCUGAUGCAGCCAUGCCGCGUGUAUGAAGAAGGCCCUAGGGUUGUAAAGUACUUUCAGUCGGGAGGCGUUACCGACAGAAGAAGCACCGGCUAACUCCGUGCCAGCAGCCGCGGUAAUAC
rnacentral:rRNA from 1 species